ensembl:lncRNA
AGGAAGAUGAGAAGGAUUACAGAAAAGUGAAAUAAAGAAUCCUAUGAAGGGGUAAAAGAAAAUUAUAGAAUUAGAUAAAAGUAACAGAAAUGAACAAAGAAGAAAAAAACAGCAAAAUAAAAAAACAAAAAAGCACUAAGAGAAAAAAAGAAAAGAACCCCCACCUAAAAAAAAGAAUCAAUGAAGCAAGAGAAAUGAGUCCGAAAAAUUUCCAUUAUUUUGAAUGAGUGAUUUGUUUUCAGGGUCUACAGUCUUGGAAUCCACCAGUACAGGGGAGGGAUAAUGAGUCACUACCAACACCUAUUUUGUUUCCACACUCACGUUUUUGUAUGCAAAUACUAAAUCAUGCUCCACCUUUCCUGCUGGACAUGGUUGGUCAGUGAUAUCCAUCCUAAGGCUGUAGUCAUUCCAGCUGCUGCCAGUUUCCAGGGUCCUCUGUGUGCCCAAGUGAUGGCUUUCUCCACCUAGCUUAAUACCCUAUGGGUCUGUGAAGUUCCCCUUACCCAACUCCAGGGGCACCUUUGUCCAUACAGUCCAGGCUGUGGCAACCACCCAAGCCAAGGCAUAUACCUCAUCAUGCUGGAAGAUGGGGAAAACUAACUCACCACUGGGCUGUGUGUUGGGUAUAGGCAGUGGGGCAGGAGGAGGGGGUGAAGGAGUCCUCUGGAUUUAAUGGCAGUACUUUCAGACCCAGCUGCCUCUGAAAACCACACAUGACAGCCCUGGCUUCUGAAUUUGGAAAGUGGUACCCCUGUGUCUUUUCCCAGCCUGAGUUUAAACUUCUCAGGGAGUCUAACCCUACCUUGUACCUUCUUCACUACCUUCUCUUAUGACCAUCUCCCACCCAUUUGCGUGGUAGAGUGACCCCAGAAACCCUGAAGUAUAGUUGUUGUAUAGCUCAGUUUUAACCCCUUCCCAAAGUGGCUCCUGAUUAAAGUCUCAAAUAUGGUGGGCGCUGCACUGGAUUUCUUCCCCAACUCUAACCUGCCAUCCAGAAGAAUUAUUUUCAAAGUAAAACCCCUCUGUUUUUGUAGUUUACUAUAACUUUUCUUAGGAUUAGAGCUGCCAGUACAGUUCAUUGUCCCUGGAGCUGCCAACUCUCUUACCUUGUAUUAGUGGAGACAGGUCUGCCUCCCUGAGAGCCAGAGUUACUGUUCCAGAUGCUUUGUUCUUUUCUCUACGUUGUGUUCAGUUUCUCUGUAGUUUCUAGUUUUCUGUUGGCUCUUUGUUGAUUCCCAGAGACCUACUUCUUUUUGUCUUUACUAAGUUGUUUUCCAAGUGUCUUGAUUCCAGGUCAAGGAGAGGCUGUAUUUUGCUGCAGGUUUUUUUCACCAAACCAGAGACCAUGGGCCUUACCAACUGCUCCGAGGAGCUGACUACAGUGAGGAUCACCCAGGAGGGAACACACUGGACAAAUUGAGAAAGUGAAACAGACCUUUAUUAGUCUGACCAGACGGCACCCUCCAAGCUCCAAGGUUAGAGAGGCCCCGAGCUUAGAGGGUUGGAUGUUUUUAUAGGGCAAGAGGGGAACUUUGGCAAGUGGAGUUACAGAAAGGAUAGGUUGGCCGUUAGGGGAGUGUAGCAGCCGUACAGAAGCAAGACGUUCUGCUGUUAGAACAUUUGUAAAACAAUAGUUGAUUAAUUGUUGUUUCUAAGAGACUCUCUAAGGGGAGGAGGUUUCUAAGCUUCCUCCUUCUGAGUUCAUCUAAAGGGCAGGCAGGUGGGUCAAGCAGCAAUAUGGAGUCUGUCUUGUUAACAAGGGUCCUUCAUUUACUGUUUCACCCCUCAUCUGUAGUAUGUUUAUGACCUUGACAAAAGGGAUAGAAACCUUUUUUCUUCCUAAUACUUCCAGGAGUUACUACUUCACUGGCACCCUGGAGCUAUUGGUUUUUCUUGCCAUCCUGAGGUUAAUUUUAAUAUAAGGCCACUUAAAGAGGUUUUUGGCUGCAUGGAGAAACUAACCUCAAAACAACAACCUUGACAAUAAAAGAACAGAGUACCUCUGUGCACAGAAUGGGCAGUUGUCCUUUAACUCUUCCUUCUUCCAAAGCUUCCAAAAGCUGCAAAAGGCCUACUUGAAUCAAGUCUCUGGUCUGUUGACGCUUUUUAAUAAGAACUUUUUAAUUCCCUACAUUCCUUGACCAAGUUUUAUAGA